rnacentral:misc_RNA from 1 species
AAAAGGGCAAAACCACUAAUCCAGAAACAUAACUACAGAAAUAGAGCCAAAAAGGAAAGGAGGAAAGACGGUGAGAGGGAACCCAAAACAAGGAAGAGGGCGAUGGUUUUGAGAUGUGUGGGUGUUGGAUAUGGAAGUAUCUACAAUUGACAAUUCUUGGUGGUGGUGGUUUGAUAGGAAUCUGGUGACUACUACAACAUUUCUAGUGACUUUCUUUCACAUUGACAUCAGAUUCUGGUAGAUUGGAGCUAUUGACAUCAGAUUCUGGUAGACUGGAGCUUUUGACAUCAGAUUCUGGUAGAUUGGAGCUAUUGACAUCAGAUUCUGGUAGACUGGAGCUU